CGGUUGAUCCCGCCGGAGGCCAUUGCUAUCGGAGUCCGAUUUAGCCAUGCUAGUCGUGCGAGUUCAGACUCGCGGCACCGAGCUCAGUAACACGUGGCCAAACUACCCUACAGAGACGGAUACCCUCGGGAAACUGAGGUUAACCUGUCAUACCGAUCUCAGGCUUGAAUCGCAGAGAUCACAAAACGCCCCGGCGCUGUAGGAUGUGGCUGCGGUUGAUUAGGUAGACGGUGGGGUAACGGCCCACCGUGCCCAUAAUCAGUACAGGUUGUGAGAGCAAGAACCUGGAGACGGAAUCUGAGACAAGAUCCCGGGCCCUACGGGGCGCAGCAGGCGCGAAACCUUUACACUACACGCACGUGCGAUAAGGGGACUCCGAGUGCAAGGGCAUAUCGUCCUCGCUUUCGUGUACCGUAGGGUGGUACACCAACAAGGGCUGGGCAAGACCGGUGUCAGCCGCCGCGGUAAUACCGGCAGCCCGAGUGAUGGCCGAUCUUAUUGGGCCUAAAGCGUCCGUAGCUGGCUGCGCAAGUCCGUCGGGAAAUCCACUCGCCCAACGAGUGGGCGUCCGACGGAAACCGCACAGCUUGGGACCGGAAGGCUCGAAGGGUACGUUCGGGGUAGGAGUGAAAUCCCAUAAUCCCGCACGGACCACCGAUGGCGAAAGCACUUCGAGAAAACGGAUCCGACAGUGAGGGACGAAAGCCAGGGUCUCCAACCGGAUUAGAUACCCGGGUAGUC
rnacentral:rRNA from 1 species